GACGAACGCGGCGGCGUGCUUAAUACAUGCAAGUAGGACGCACAGUUUAUACCGUAGCUUGCUACACCAUAGACUGUGAGUUGCGAACGGGUGAGUAACGCGUAGGUAACCUGCCUAUUAGAGGGGGAUAACUAUUGGAAACGAUAGCUAAUACCGCAUAACAGUAUGUAACACAUGUUAGAUGCUUGAAAGAUGCAAUUGCAUCGCUAGUAGAUGGACCUGCGUUGUAUUAGCUAGUAGGUAGGGUAAAGGCCUACCUAGGCAACGAUACAUAGCCGACCUGAGAGGGUGAUCGGCCACACUGGGACUGAGACACGGCCCAGACUCCUACGGGAGGCAGCAGUAGGGAAUCUUCGGCAAUGGGGGGAACCCUGACCGAGCAACGCCGCGUGAGUGAAGAAGGUUUUCGGAUCGUAAAGCUCUGUUGUUAAGGAAGAACGAGUGUGAGAAUGGAAAGUUCAUACUGUGACGGUACUUAACCAGAAAGGGACGGCUAACUACGUGCCAGCAGCCGCGGUAAUACGUAGGUCCCGAGCGUUGUCCGGAUUUAUUGGGCGUAAAGCGAGCGCAGGCGGUUAGAAAAGUCUGAAGUGAAAGGCAGUGGCUCAACCAUUGUAGGCUUUGGAAACUGUUUAACUUGAGUGCAGAAGGGGAGAGUGGAAUUCCAUGUGUAGCGGUGAAAUGCGUAGAUAUAUGGAAGAACACCAGUGGCGAAGGCGGCUGUCUGGUCUGUAACUGACGCUGAGGCUCGAAAGCAUGGGUAGCGAACAGG
rnacentral:rRNA from 1 species